rnacentral:rRNA from 1 species
UACGAAGGGUGCAAACGUUGCUCGGAAUUAUUGGGCGUAAAGCGCACGUAGGCGGCUUUGCAAGUCCCAUGUGAAAUCCCACGGCUCAACCGUGGAAGUGCAUGGGAAACUGCAGAGCUUGAGUACUUAAGAGGAUCGCGGAAUUCCCGGUGUAGAGGUGAAAUUCGUAGAUAUCGGGAGGAACACCAGUGGCGAAGGCGGCGAUCUGGGAAGAGUACUGACGCUGAGGUGCGAAAGCGUGGGGAGCAAACGGGG